rnacentral:tRNA from 1 species
GCCGACAUGGCCGAGGCGGUGGAGCGCAUCGGCUCCUGGCUGAAGACGGGCUGAUCUUGGCCGCGGGUUCAGGCUCCCGCAGUCGGCU